CCUACGGGGGGCAGCAGUCGAGAAUCAUUCACAAUGGGGGAAACCCUGAUGGUGCGACGCCGCGUGGAGGAAUGAAGGUCUUCGGAUUGUAAACCCCUGUCAUGUGGGAGCAAAUUAAAAAGAUAGUACCACAAGAGGAAGAGACGGCUAACUCUGUGCCAGCAGCCGCGGUAAUACAGAGGUCUCAAGCGUUGUUCGGAAUCACUGGGCGUAAAGCGUGCGUAGGCUGUUUCGUAAGUCGUGUGUGAAAGGCGCGGGCUCAACCCGCGGACGGCACAUGAUACUGCGAGACUAGAGUAAGGGAGGGGGAACCGGAAUUCUCGGUGUAGCAGUGAAAUGCGUAGAUAUCGAGAGGAACACUCGUGGCGAAGGCGGGUUCCUGGACAUUAACUGACGCUGAGGCACGAAGGCCAGGGGAGCGAAAGGGAUUAGAUACCCUGGUAGUC
rnacentral:rRNA from 1 species